UACGUAGGCAGCAAGCGUUGUUCGGAAUUACUGGCGUAAAGAGUGCGUAGGCGGUGCUCUAAGUCUGUUGUGAAAUCUCCCGGCUUAACUGGGAGGGUGCGGCGGAAACUGGAGUGCUUGAGGGUGGGAGAGGUAAGCGGAAUUCCUGGUGUAGCGGUGAAAUGCGUAGAUAUCAGGAGGAACACCUGUGGUGUAGACAGCUUACUGGACCACUUCUGACGCUGAGGCACGAAAGCGUGGGUAGCAAACAGG
rnacentral:rRNA from 1 species